GACUACCAGGGUAUCUAAUCCUGUUUGCUCCCCACGCUUUCGUGCCUCAGUGUCAGUUACAGUCCAGAAAGCCGCCUUCGCCACUGGUGUUCCUCCUAAUAUCUACGCAUUUCACCGCUACACUAGGAAUUCCGCUUUCCUCUCCUGCACUCAAGUCUCACAGUUCGCAAGGCUUACUAUGGUUGAGCCAUAGCCUUUCACCCCGCGCUUACAAAACCACCUACGCACUCUUUACGCCCAAUAAUUCCGGAUAACGCUCGCCCCCUACGUAUUACCGCGGCUGCUGGCACGUAGUUAGCCGGGGCUUCCUCCAAGGGUACCGUCAUUUUUUUCUUCCCCAAGGACAGAGCUUUACGACCCAAAGGCCUUCAUCGCUCACGCGGCGUUGCUGCAUCAGGCUUUCGCCCAUUGUGCAAUAUUCCCCACUGCAGCCCCCCGUAGG
rnacentral:rRNA from 1 species